rnacentral:lncRNA from 1 species
GGCAUUUGUUUACUUUGCUGAUGUUGAGCUCCAUUCUUCUGUAUUUGUUUUCUUUUUCUUUCCUAGGGUGAUAGGGUUGAAGCAACAGGAUGAGAGAUCUCAAGCAUGCUGCUAAAUAUUGUAGUCUGACAAAACUAUAUGGCUUCCUUUAUCAAGACAGCUGUGUUUUUACAUAAAUAAUCUUAAUUUGGCCUGCUCAAGGAUUACGCCUUGUACUCCAGCACACUACCUUGAAAGGUCACCUUGACUUCCCCAAGGAGUUUACUUCAAGGCAUUCAGGAUGCCAGUCCAGAAAGCCUCACAGACUGAGGAUAACCAAAACAUAUCCCACCUUCCUCAAUUGCCUUUUGGAAGUAUUCAGACAUUGUGUGAUACAAUUGAACUCUAAAUUUUAUGCGAGCAUUUGACAUUUAUUUUAGUAUGCUAUUUCAUUGUUAAUGUCAGGUAUCACAUGGAUUCCUUAUCACUUUCAAACCGGUUAAGUAUAAAAAUGAUUUAUUGCAAAGAGUUUCGUGCUCUGUGGUUGUAAACCCAACAGCUGUCAGCACUAGCACAUUUAAUGCAAUAUUUUUUUUUUGAUGAAAGUUUAAAGCACUUCAUCCUCACUUUGAUAUUCAUGGAUAGCAUCAAAAACAAGGGACACAAAUAUAAAUUUAGCUUGUAAUGGGAAUUAUCGUAGAACUAGUGUCAGUGAAUUAUUACAGACGGUGAAUUAUUACGUCUCUUCUGUAGCAUUCAAUCUUCCCUGCUGGAUUGUUUGAUUCAAUAUUUUGUCCAUCAUUAAAAAAAAAAAAAAAGCCACUAUACUCUGUGUUCUGUGUGAAAAUAUCCUUGAUAGUUGGAACUUGGAUUUUGUACUCUUCCAGCCCUAGCUGCACUUCUUCCAGAUGCUUCUACAAUGGUGACAAAUUAGAAAGGCAGGUCCUAACCUGAAGUGAGAACAUUUACCCGGUCUGUUAUUCCACAAGGUAUUUCUUUUGAGUCCUUCAGA